UGGGGAAUCUUGCACAAUGGGGGCAACCCUGAUGCAGCGACGCCGCGUGAGCGAUGAAGCCCUUCGGGGCGUAAAGCUCUUUCGACCGGAACGAUAAUGACGGUACCGGGAGAAGAAGCUGCGGCUAACUACGUGCCAGCAGCCGCGGUAAUACGUAGGCAGCAAGCGUUGUUCGGAGUUACUGGGCGUAAAGAGUGCGUAGUCGGUUUUCUAAGUUCGGUGUGAAAUCUCCCGGCUUAACUGGGAGGGUGCGCCGAAGACUGGGAAGCUGGAGUGUGGGAAAGGCAGGCGGAAUUCCUGGUGUAGCGGUGAAAUGCGUAGAUAUCAGGAGGAACACCGGCGGUGUAGACGGCUUGCUAGACCAUAACUGACGCUGAGGCACGAAAGCGUGGGUAGCAAACA
rnacentral:rRNA from 1 species